GCCUACGGGGGGCAGCAGUGAGGAAUAUUGGUCAAUGGCCGGAAGGCUGAACCAGCCAAGUCGCGUGAGGGAAUAAGGCCCUAUGGGUCGUAAACCUCUUUUGUCAGGGAGCAAAGGCGUCCACGUGUGGACGAGAGGAGAGUACCUGAAGAAAAAGCAUCGGCUAACUCCGUGCCAGCAGCCGCGGUAAUACGGAGGAUGCGAGCGUUAUCCGGAUUUAUUGGGUUUAAAGGGUGCGUAGGCGGAGUGUCAAGUCAGCGGUAAAAUUUCGGGGCUCAACCCCGUCGGGCCGUUGAAACGGACGC
rnacentral:rRNA from 1 species